CCAAAAUUCACUGCCUUUGCUGAAAGUUUCAUAAUCUGUUUUAUUAAGAGUCUAACUUAAGUAAGAUGUUUCAGUUUGAGACUGGACAAUCAGCUGUGAACUUGUUUACGGAAACACAAACCUUAAUUGUCCCCAUUAGACCACUCUUUACAAAAAAGGUUUACAUAUCCAGUCUAGAGAGAUCAACUUGAUAAACAUUAUGAAGCGAGCAGGAUAACUUGAAAAAAAAAAAAAAAACAUUGAUAAAAGGAAUUUGCCAUGUGCAAAUCAUGUGGGUAAGUUCACAUCCAGCUAUAGUCAGUUACAUUAGGCUAAGAUAUAAUAAAAACAAUUUGCUGGUAGAAUACAUGUCAUUGGGUUUAUCUACAAAAUUUUGUUAAAUAGCAACUUGGUCAUUACAGUAAAUAUAACUUUGUAAAACCCCUUUACUAUUUCCUUUAAUUAAGCCCACAAUACAAGGAAUGCACUUUUCAUAUUUAUAAAACAGACCCAUAAUAAUACUGACUAAUCAAAUAAAUUAAUGUAGCUUUUUAUGUGACAUCAGCUGUCUAGAAUCAAGUUCUGGUUACACAGUGCGUAUUUAAAAAAAAAA